AAGAAAGCGCUAAUCCAAAGCUUAAAAAGAAAAAAGAAAAAACGAAGAUAAAAUACUAGGGUAGUAGGAUAUCGCUCUUUUCUAUCUCUGCCGUUCUCCUCUCAUAGUCUGAUGAAGCUCCGUCUCCGUUUCUGAGGCUCCUCUUUUGAUCUACCAUCUGUGAAGCUCUCAUCUCAGACAAGGAGAUGUCGAUACCAGGUCAAUUCAAUCUUCUGUCGCUGCACUACCAAUUGCUCUCUUAUUAUGGGGUUCGAAUUGGGUCUUUGCUACCAUUCCACAUUUCAAGUUGCGGUCUCAACUUCCACUAGAUUGUGCACAGGGAAAUGCAGGACAAUUUUCCUCAUUUAUGAUUAGGAUCGGAGCAUGAAAUUUGCAGUCUUUAACUGUAAGUGUUGUUUGAAUCAUUGUGUCUUUUUGGAUUGAUUUUCUCUGUGAUAGGGUUCUUCAUAAUUCCAAGCUCUGGACAUUGUAACACAUUAGCUCAAUUCCACUUUUGAAUGCUUUUCAUUUCUUUAUUUUAACUCCACAGAGUAAUUUGUGGGGGUCUAAAACUUCUUCUAACAAGGAUUAUAGGGUAAAGAAGUACUAAAAGGUCAUAGUUCCGAGUACUAGAAAAUUUUGUUGCACUGCAUGUCUUAGUACUUCUAUGAAAACAGAGUAUUUGGUAGUGGGUUGUGGAUGAGGAACAGAUACAGUGUUUUUUCUUUCUUUCUUUUUUUCGAUGGAAUGAACAUAUACAGUGUUAUUCUCAUAAGAUGACAGUCUACUCAUAUUGAUUGCUGUAUGGAUAUCCCAAUAUCUGGCUUUUGACAUUUCAUUGACUGUACUAUUGGUAGCCAGCUUCAUGCACAGGGCCUUGAAAUGAUUCAAAUUACUUCUGGAUCAAGAGAACUCUGUAAGAUAUUGGAGGUUCGGCUGUACUAUUGCGAGCCAGCUUCAUGCACAUGGCCUUGAAAUUACUUCUGGAUCAAGAGAACUCGGUGCCAAAGCCCUAUACUAAACCUCUAAAAGAGAAAUUCCAUUUCUAAUGACGAGUUCCAAGUGCAAGAGUAGAAAAGAUUUCAAGAUUUGGGGAAGUAAUCAGGAGGAUGCCUAUGAUUUAGUUCACCAAUAACCAAGUGAUUUAGUUACUUCUAUAUUGGAUUUAGUACAGACAAUCCCUAAACUCUUUUGAAUUAGUAUAUAGUAUUUGAUCUAACUACUUUGAACUAGUACUUAUUGUAAGGGAAUACUUUGAGUUA